CUAAUCACAAUUUUAACUCAUGAUUCACUCCAACAAACUAAUUGUAAAACACACUGUUGCACAAUAAAAGGAAGCAAUCAACCAUACAAGGCACAGUAAAUAGUUACAAGCCUUUCUUAAUAGACAAUGAGUGACCAAAGGAGUCAGCAAAAACACUCCUUUGGUGUUUGGUAAAUCUUAUGGGGCAGUUCAGAAUUCUGGAGGAGAAAAAAUGUCCUCAAACUCUACAAGCCUGACAGCAUAUUCUCACCCAAUAAGAAAAGAAUUUGUAAGGUAAAAUCAAUACUCAAUAGAUUUUGUGCAGGUGGUGAGAGGAAUGAAUCAACGACGAAUUCUUAACCAGCCUUGCCUUUCUGACGAGUCUCUGAUGCAAACAGGACAGCAAAAUUGAGGUUAAAAGGCUUAAAUCAUGGGACAGAAAGAAACUAGUAAACAGUCACUGGGCUUUCCCGGCUUCAUUUUGGUGGGCAACGAGUUCAUUCUCCUGGUGCAGUGAUCUUCAACUUCUUUUUGGACACAGGCUUCUUCUUCCUCGGUGGAAGUGUCAUUUGAGCAUAAGAACGCAUAGUUGCCAACAAGGAACAACAGCACAAGCCCACCGAUAACUUAGUUGCCUUCUCCCUGUUGAAGUUUCCCUGCUGUCAAAACAUACACUCAUACAAGGAAAGGGCAUGAUAGUUGAGAAACAGUAAUAUGAUUCUGAGAUCAGAUGAUAAGCAAGUUUAGUUGAAGUCAAGAACAGCACUUAAGACACUGAGAUGGAAGAUCAGAACAAGAUAACGAAAAAGAAAGGCCAAAUUCUAAGUCAAUUAGUUCUAUCAUUCACCAUAUGAACACCAUAAAUAUAUAAGUAAGAAAUGAUAUGGCAUCGAUGAUGGCAAGUAAUAAAUGAUUGUCACUAUUAUUUUACAAAAGAAAAGAAAAAAGAAUCGUAAGUUCAAUCUGCUUAAACCCUCUGAAGCAUGGAGAUGGACGCGACAUAUGAACUCCUAUAGAAGACAGACACCUUGUGAAUCUCAAAUCUUGCAGCUAGACUACUGGUUGAAGCACAAACAGGGCACAGGCAACAAAUCAUAAUCGAUGCAGGAUAGAAAUUUCCACUAACAAUGAUUACUUUAUGGAACACUACGAACUUGCUUUGCAAGUAUCUCACAGAUCCCGCUUGAAAUAGGGUACUGGCAUUCACAAUCUUUACUCGUCUAAACACCAUUUCGGGCGUUCAGCACAUCGAUCUCAUUAUCGUGCUCUAUGAGUUAAAUCGUUUAAAAGGAUAUGAAUAAUUGUAAGCAUUCAGUGUGGAACAUCAACUGAGGGAGCAGUGAUUGAUGCAAUAAUGGUACCAAUCAACAUCAGAUCUGCACCGAUCUCACACAACCGCAGCGCGAUACGUGCGGCGAUAACACAUCAAAAGCGAAGAUCAGAAGAUGAGGCCUUACGGAAGUUUCGGAGAACUGUUCAUCCAUGGCGACAGAUCGCACCAAAAGCCGCCCCGCACCCUCUUCUGCGUGCGUCACGCGUCCGGUUGAUAGGAGAAAUCGAUGGCUCUAAAGGAGGUGGAAACCCACCGGAGAAAGAGGACAUCGAAGGGACGAAUCAAGAUGGCUGCCUCUUACCUUCCAGCGAUUCCAGAAUCGGAAGGAUUCGCUGGAUUCGACAAGACGAGGUGAAAGAAUAACCGGAGAUGCGACGGGACGGAUAGAGCACGGGUUAAAAUAUUAGGUGUAGACAUCCGACGGGUCAAU
rnacentral:lncRNA from 1 species